rnacentral:rRNA from 1 species
GAGUUUGAUCAUGGCUCAGAUUGAACGCUGGCGGCAUGCCUUACACAUGCAAGUCGAACGGCAGCAUGAUCUAGCUUGCUAGAUUGAUGGCGAGUGGCGAACGGGUGAGUAAUACAUCGGAACGUGCCCUGUAGUGGGGAUAACUAGUCGAAAGAUUAGCUAAUACCGCAUACGACCUGAGGGUGAAAGUGGGGACCGCAAGGCCUCAUGCUAUAGGAGCGGCCGAUGUCUGAUUAGCUAGUUGGUGGGUAAAGGCCCACCAAGGCGACGAUCAGUAGCUGGUCUGAGAGGACGAUCAGCCACACUGGGACUGAGACACGGCCCAGACUCCUACGGGAGGCAGCAGUGGGGAAUUUUGGACAAUGGGCGAAAGCCUGAUCCAGCAAUGCCGCGUGUGCGAAG